rnacentral:rRNA from 1 species
AUCAUGGCUCAGAGUGAACGCUGGCGGCGUGCUUAACACAUGCAAGUCGAACGGAAACAAUUGGUACUUGUACCAAGGUGUCGAGUGGCGAACGGGUGAGUAAUGUAUAGUUAAUUUGCCUCUUAGAAAGGGAUAGCCAUUGGAAACGAUGAUUAAUACCUUAUACUCCUAUUAUUGUAAAAGUAAUAGGGAAACGUUUUUUCGCUAAGAGAUAAGACUAUAUGGUAUCAGGUAGUUGGUAGGGUAAGAGCCUACCAAGCCAAUGACGCCUAGCUGGUCUGAGAGGAUGAUCAGCCACACUGGAACUGAGACACGGUCCAGACUCCUACGGGAGGCAGCAGUGGGGAAUAUUGCACAAUGGAGGAAACUCUGAUGCAGCAACGCCGCGUGGAGGAUGACGCAUUUCGGUGUGUAAACUCCUUUUAUAUGGGAAGAUAAUGACGGUACCAUAUGAAUAAGCACCGGCUAACUCCGUGCCAGCAGCCGCGGUAAUACGGAGGGUGCAAGCGUUACUCGGAAUCACUGGGCGUAAAGCGCAUGCAGGCGGUUCGUUAAGUUGGAAGUGAAAUCCUAUGGCUCAACCAUAGAACUGCUUCCAAAACUGAUGAACUAGAGUCUGGGAGGGGAAGAUGGAAUUAGUUGUGUAGGGGUAAAAUCCGUAGAGAUAACUAGGAAUACCAAAAGCGAAGGCGAUCUUCUGGAACAGUACUGACGCUGAGAUGCGAAGCGUGGGGGAGCAAACAGGAUUAGAUACCCUGGGUAGUCCACGCAGUAAACGAUGAAUGUUAGUCGUUGGGUCUCUAGUAGAUUCAGUGAUGCAGUUAACACAUUAAACAUUCCGCCUGGGGAGUACGGUCGCAGAUAAAACUCAA